GNAGCNUACAUGCAGUCGAGCGGAACGAUUCUAGCUUGCUAGAAGGCGUCGAGCGGCGGACGGGUGAGUAAUGCAUGGGAAUCUGCCCGAUAGUGGGGGACAACCUGGGGAAACUCAGGCUAAUACCGCAUACGUCCUACGGGAGAAAGCAGGGGAUCUUCGGACCUUGCGCUAUCGGAUGAGCCCAUGUCNGAUUANCUUGUUGGUGAGGUAACGGCUCACCAAGGCNACGAUCCGUANCUGGUCUGAGAGGAUGAUCANCCNCACUGGGACUGAUAC
rnacentral:rRNA from 1 species